GUGCCAGCCGCCGCGGUAAUUCCAGCUCCAAUAGCGUAUAUUAAAGUUGUUGUGGUUAAAAAGCUCGUAGUUGAACCUUGGGCCUGGCUGGCCGGUCCGCCUCACCGCGUGCACUGGUCCGGCCGGGCCUUUCCCUCUGUGGAACCCCAUACCCUUCACUGGGCGUGGCGGGGAAACAGGACAUUUACUUUGAAAAAAUUUGAGUGCUCCAGGCAGGCCUAUGCUCGAAUACAUUAGCAUGGAAUAAUAAAAUAGGACGCGCGGUUCUAUUUUGUUGGUUUAUAGGACCGCCGUAAUGAUUAAUAGGGACAGUCGGGGCAUCAGUAUUCAACUGUCAGAGGUGAAAUUCUUGGAUCAGUUGAAGACUAACUACUGCGAAAGCAUUUGCCAAGGAUGUUUUCAUUAAUCAGGAACGAAAGUUAGGGGAUCGAAGACGAUCAGAUACCGUCGUAGUCUUAACCACAAACUAUGCCGACUAGGGAUCGGACGGUGUUAUUCAUGACCCGUUCGGCACCUUACGAGAAAUCAAAGUGCUUGGGCUCCAGGGGGAGUAUGGUCGCAAGGCUGAAACUUAAAGAAAUUGACGGAAGGGCACCACCAGGGGUGGAGCCUGCGGCUUAAUUUGACUCAACACGGGGAAACUCACCAGGUCCAGACACAAUAAGGAUUGACAGAUUGAGAGCUCUUUCUUGAUUUUGUGGGUGUGUGCAUGGCCGUUCUUAGUUGGUGGGGUGACUUGUCUGCUUAAUGCGAUAACGAACGAGAACCUUAACCUGCUAAAUAAGCCCGCAUGCUCCGCAGUGCGCUGCUUCUUAAGAAGGGACUUUCGCUCAAGCCGAAGAAGUUUGAGGCAAUAAACCGGUUCUUGUCAUGC
rnacentral:rRNA from 1 species